rnacentral:rRNA from 1 species
CCUACGGGAGGCAGCAGUAGGGAAUCUUCCACAAUGGGCGAAAGCCUGAUGGAGCAACGCCGCGUGGGUGAAGAAGGUCUUCGGAUCGUAAAACCCUGUUGUUAGAGAAGAAAGUGCGUGAGAGUAACUGUUCACGUUUCGACGGUAUCUAACCAGAAAGCCACGGCUAACUACGUGCCAGCAGCCGCGGUAAUACGUAGGUGGCAAGCGUUAUCCGGAUUUAUUGGGCGUAAAGGGAACGCAGGCAGUCUUUUAAGUCUGAUGUGAAAGCCUUCGGCUUAACCGGAGUAGUGCAUUGGAAACUGGGAGACUUGAGUGCAGAAGAGGAGAGUGGAACUCCAUGUGUAGCGGUGAAAUGCGUAGAUAUAUGGAAGAACCCCAGUGGCGAAAGCGGCUCUCUGGGCUGUAACUGACGCUGAGGUUCGAAAGCGUGGGUAGCAAACAGGAUUAGAUACCCGGGUAGUC